AAAGAAGCAGUACUAGUUUUGCACAAAGACACAUAUGACUUAAACAAAGAUAAGAUGGUAGAAAUAAUAUGUGCAGAUGAAAUACAAAUAGAACCUAAAAUACAAAAGUUAACCAAACUGCAUUACUAGAAGGAUUUUGAGAAGUGGAAAGGGGGAUGGAAAAACAUCAAGCCCAACCCUGUUUGUAACGUUCGAAAAGUUGUUCAGUUUGGGCAUUUCUGUAAGCACUACAAGCAAUAAGAUAUACCCAAAUAAGAACCACCACAGUUAAAAUGAGAACGAGAUUUGCUUUCCUCCAUUCUUUUCUCAGAUUUCCUAGCAAACCGGCUUUGCACGCAUCACAGUUGUAGCAAAGCUGGUUUUGGUCGUUGUUCCAAAUGGAGCAAUCUGCAUCUGCUAUUGCGUUUGUUGGGUUAUUCCACACAGUUGGGUUCACAUACUGAUAUCCACAAAUUGUUGGAGGUUUACAACAUCCUGACUUGAUAGGAGAUAGAUGAGCAGCAAAGAAUUGAUCAGCAGUAAUAAUGUGAGUAUUAAGCUUAGGACAAAUAUCAGAAACAGCCAAACAGGCCCUUAUAUUUCCCCAACUAUGACCAUCGGUAAUCCGAUUCCUCAACCAGGAGGAGAAACCUGCAAGCCUGUACUCGCUAUAACCUUUACCGGGUACAGAAUAAGCGCCGUUUGGGCGCGUGACUACAAAAGCAAGAACAAGGAGCACGAGCAAGAAGAUGAUGAGAAUCGCCAUACAAACCAAAUAAACACCCAAUAAUCCCUCUUUUUUCCAAUAAGCACCGACGAAUCCAGCUAACGAGACAAGCAUAACGGCGAGACCCAUGAAAACAACCGGCCAUCGGAGCCAGUGGAUACACUCGUUGUCCGGCUUUGAGGCUAGCCAUGUACCGGCCGCGAUUAUAGGGAUGGAGCACAUAAAUGCCACAAAAUUCAAGAAAGCUGUAAUGUUAUUGCUUAGAGACAUGGCUAGCUUAGAUUUGAAGGAGAAAAUAUAGUGUGAAG
rnacentral:misc_RNA from 1 species